UCGACUUGACGUAUGCCUGUCCCUUCAUGCCGACGAAAAGGUAUAUGAGGCUGAACUAUAGGAUGUGCGUGCUAAAGAACGUGCGGCUCAUGAGGCAUGUGGUUACGACCCCAACACACCUGGUAGGGACGAUAUUGAUUACGAUGAUGGGGACAAGCUCACCUCUGAUUCUUGUUACCAUGAGAAGUAUGCCAUAGGGGAUGAUGUGGCAUAGGACUUUG
rnacentral:lncRNA from 1 species